rnacentral:rRNA from 1 species
UAAUACAUGCAAGUCGAGCGAACAGACGAGGAGCCUGCUCCUCUGACGUUAGCGGCGGACGGGUGAGUAACACGUGGAUAACCUACCUAUAAGACUGGGAUAACUUCGGGAAACCGGAGCUAAUACCGGAUAAUAUAUUGAACCGCAUGGUUCAAUAGUGAAAGACGGUUUUGCUGUCACUUAUAGAUGGAUCCGCGCCGCAUUAGCUAGUUGGUAAGGUAACGGCUUACCAAGGCAACGAUGCGUAGCCGACCUGAGAGGGUGAUCGGCCACACUGGAACUGAGACACGGUCCAGACUCCUACGGGAGGCAGCAGUAGGGAAUCUUCCGCAAUGGGCGAAAGCCUGAUGGAGCAACGCCGCGUGAGUGAUGAAGGUCUUCGGAUCGUAAAACUCUGUUAUUAGGGAGGAACAAAUGCGUAAGUAACUAUGCACGUCUUGACGGUACCUAAUCAGAAAGCCACGGCUAACUACGUGCCAGCAGCCGCGGUAAUACGUAGGUGGCAAGCGUUAUCCGGAAUUAUUGGGCGUAAAGCGCGCGUAGGCGGUUUUUUAAGUCUGAUGUGAAAGCCCACGGCUCAACCGUGGAGGGUCAUUGGAAACUGGAAAACUUGAGUGCAGAAGAGGAAAGUGGAAUUCCAUGUGUAGCGGUGAAAUGCGCAGAGAUAUGGAGGAACACCAGUGGCGAAGGCGACUUUCUGGUCUGUAACUGACGCUGAUGUGCGAAAGCGUGGGGAUCAAACAGGAUUA